UACGUAGGGGGCAAGCGUUGUCCGGAUUUAUUGGGCGUAAAGAGCGUGUAGGCGGCUAUACAGGUCCGCUGUGAAAACUCGAGGCUCAACCUCGAGAUGUCGAUGGAAACCGUCUGGCUAGAGUCCGGAAGAGGAGUGUGGAAUUCCUGGUGUAGCGGUGAAAUGCGCAGAUAUCAGGAAGAACACCUAUGGCGAAGGCAGCACUCUGGGACGGUACUGACGCUGAGACGCGAAAGCGUGGGGAGCGAACAGG
rnacentral:rRNA from 1 species